rnacentral:rRNA from 1 species
AACGUAGGUCACAAGCGUUGUCCGGAAUUACUGGGUGUAAAGGGAGCGCAGGCGGGAGAACAAGUUGGAAGUGAAAUCCAUGGGCUCAACCCAUGAACUGCUUUCGAAACUGUUUUUCUUGAGUAGUGCAGAGGUAGGCGGAAUUCCCGGUGUAGCGGUGGAAUGCGUAGAUAUCGGGAGGAACACCAGUGGCGAAGGCGGCCUACUGGGCACCAACUGACGCUGAGGCUCGAAAGUGUGGGUAGCAAACAGG